GCUGCCGUGCGCGACUGGCGAAAAGGUGGCCACCACCGGGGAGCGCCGGCCCGCCUCCGCCCGCGCCGCGGGAGUGGAGGGGGAGCAAGGGAGAACCUGGUCGCCCGCCUGGGCCGAGGUC
rnacentral:ncRNA from 21 species